rnacentral:rRNA from 1 species
CAGUAGCCGCGGUAAUACGAAAGGUCCAAGCGUUACUCGGAAUUACUGGGCGUAAAGCGCGCGUAGGCGGUUUUGUAUGUCGAUUGUGAAAGCCCCGGGCUCAACCUGGGAACUGCAGUCGAAACUGCAAGACUUGAAUGUUGGAGAGGUUGGGGGAAUACCUAGUGGAGAAGUGAAAUUCGUAGAGAUUAGGUGGAACACCAGAGGCGAAGGCGCCUGACUGGCCAAACAUUGACGCUAAGGCGCGAAAGCGUGGGUAGCAAACAGGAUUAGAUACCCGCGUAGUCCCUGUCUCUUAUAC